GCCUGGUGUGGUGGCGCUCACCUGUAGUCCAGCUACUCAGGAGGCUGAAGUGGGAGGAUUGCUUGAGCCCAGGAGUUGGAGGCUGCAGUGAGCUGUGAUCACACCAUUGCACUCCAGCCUGGGCAACAGAGUAAGACCCCUUCUCUU
ensembl:misc_RNA Metazoa_SRP Metazoan signal recognition particle RNA